GACGAACGCUGGCGGCGUGCCUAAUACAUGCAAGUAGGACGCAGUUGCGAACGGGUGAGUAACGCGUCGGUAACUGCCUAUUAGAGGGGGAUAACUAUUGGAACCGAUAGCUAAUACCGCAUACUAGUAGAUGGACCUGCUUUGUAUUAGCUAGUAGGUCGGGUAAUGGCAUACCUAGGCAACGAGACAUAGCCGACCGGAGAGGGGGAACGGCCAAAACGGGACUGAGACCCGGCCCAGACUCCUACGGGAGGGAGCAGGAGGGAAUCUUCGGCAAUGGGGGGAACCCUGACCGAGCAACGCCGCGUGAGUGAAGAAGGUUUUCGGAUCGUAAAGCUCUUUUGUUAAGGAAGCGGUACUUAACCAGAAAGGGACGGCUAACUACGUGCCAGCAGCCGCGGUAAUAC
rnacentral:rRNA from 1 species